rnacentral:rRNA from 1 species
UACAGAGGUCUCAAGCGUUGUUCGGAUUCAUUGGGCGUAAAGGGUGCGUAGGUGGCGCGCUAAGUCAGGUGUGAAAUUUCGGAGCUUAACUCCGAAACUGCAUUUGAUACUGGCGUGCUUGAGGACUGGAGAGGAGACUGGAAUUCAUGGUGUAGCAGUGAAAUGCGUAGAGAUCAUGAGGAACACCGGUGGCGAAGGCGGGUCUCUGGGCCGUAACUGACGCUGAGGAGCGAAAGCAUGGGGAGCGAACAGG